rnacentral:sRNA from 1 species
UUGCUUAAUGCCGCAGUCAGCGGCAGCGGGAGAACCAACUUUGGGGUGUAUCCGCGUACGCGGUAGGAGACCUUCUUCUCCGAACCCGACAGCUAAUCUCGUCAGCGUAAGAGGGA